rnacentral:rRNA from 1 species
GACGAACGCUGGCGGCGUGCCUAAUACAUGCAAGUUGAGCGCUGAAGGUUGGUACUUGUACCAACUGGAUGAGCAGCGAACGGGUGAGUAACGCGUGGGGAAUCUGCCUUUGAGCGGGGGACAACAUUUGGAAACGAAUGCUAAUACCGCAUAAAAACUUUAAACACAAGUUUUAAGUUUGAAAGAUGCAAUUGCAUCACUCAAAGAUGAUCCCGCGUUGUAUUAGCUAGUUGGUGAGGUAAAGGCUCACCAAGGCGAUGAUACAUAGCCGACCUGAGAGGGUGAUCGGCCACAUUGGGACUGAGACACGGCCCAAACUCCUACGGGAGGCAGCAGUAGGGAAUCUUCGGCAAUGGACGAAAGUCUGACCGAGCAACGCCGCGUGAGUGAAGAAGGUUUUCUGAUCGUAAAACUCUGUUGGUAGAGAAGAACGUUGGUGAGAGUGGAAAGCUCAUCAAGUGACGGUAACUACCCAGAAAGGGACGGCUAACUACGUG